CGGGACCGGGUAAAGGCUACCAAGACUAUUCCUCCCCCAACAGCACAUAAACCUCCUCCAUGCUUUCCUGGGCCUAAUCUCAUACUGCCAAGCAUCCCACAUCCUCAUGCAACCUUUCUAUGACGGCCUCAAGACUGAACCUUUUUCUCUGUCCCCCGAGGCUCUCUCCUGCUUCCAUGCCUUGCAACGUGCCAUCUCCUCUGCACCGGCCCUGGGCCUUCCUGAUUACAAGAAACCCUUUAUGUUGUUAGUGUCAGAAAGAAAGGGGCAUGCCACUGGGGUCCUCACUCAGCCCCAUUGCUCACGUCAACGACCCAUUGGAUUUUUCUCUUGCCAACUGGAUGCUGUAGCAAGAGGCGGCCCCUCCUGUCUCAGAGCUGUAUUUGCUGCACAUGCUCUCAUUGACAAAACCAAUGAUUUGAUCC